UGGAAGAACAAGAAACCAACAGUAGUAAA
rnacentral:piRNA from 1 species